CAAAGAUUUGGUCCUAACCUUAUUAUCAGUUAUUACUUAACUUACACAUGCAAGUCUCCGCACACCCGUGAAAACGCCCUUAUUCCUCCCUCAGGAUAAGGAGCCGGUAUCAGGCACAGACACAUUGCCCACAACACCUAGCUUCGCCACUCCCCUAAGGGUAAUCAGCAGUGAUUAACAUUGUUCAUAAGCGCCAGCUUGACCCAGUCAAAGUAAACAGAGUUGGCCAACCCGGUGCCAGCCGCCGCGGCUACACCAUUGGACUCAAGUUGAUAAUACUUCGGCGUUAAGCGUGAUUAAAGUAACCCAAAGAUUAGAGUUAAACCCAAACAAAGUCGUAAUACACCUGCUCCAAGAAACACAAAACGAAAGUUAUUCUAACUAAACCACUUGACUUCACGACAACUAAGAAACAAACUGGGACUAGAUACCCCACUAUGCUUAGCCGUAAAAUAUUAAUUUACACUCAAAUCGCCAGGGAAUUACGAGCCCAAGCUUAAAACCCAAAGGACUUGACGGUGUCCCAUCCCCCUAGAGGAGCCUGUUCUAUAAUCGAUUCUCCCCGAUUUACCUCACCAUCCUUUGAAUACUCAGCCUGUAUACCUCCGUCGCAAGCUUACCAUGUGAACGCAUAUCCAGUGAGCCUAAACAUUUUACAUUAACACGUCAGGUCAAGGUGCAGCCUACGGGAUGGAAAGAAAUGGGCUACAAUCUCUAUCCUAGAACAAACGGAAGACUACAUGAAAUAUAGUCAUUGAAGGCGGAUUUAGCAGUAAAAAGAAAAUAGAGAGUUCUUUUUAACUGGGCACUGGGACGCGUACACACCGCCCGUCACCCUCUUCAAAUGAUACACGCAACGUUAUUAACACCACACAACUUUAUAGAAGAGGCAAGUCGUAACACGGUAAGCGUACUGGAAAGUGCGCUUGGAAUAACAAA
rnacentral:ncRNA from 1 species